AUGAACGCUAGCGACAGGCCUAACACAUGCAAGUCGAGGGGCAGCACAAGGAGCAAUCUGAGGUGGCGACCGGCGCACGGGUGAGUAACACGUAUGCAACCUGCCUGUAAGAGGGGAAUAACCCGUGAAAGACGGACUAAUACCGCAUAAUACUAAAUUACUGCAUGGUAAUUUAUUUAAACAUUUAUGGCUUACAGAUGGGCAUGCGCAUGAUUAGCUAGUUGGAGAGGUAACGGCUCCCCAAGGCAACGAUCAUUAGGGGUUCUGAGAGGAAGGUCCCCCACACUGGUACUGAGACACGGACCAGACUCCUACGGGAGGCAGCAGUGAGGAAUAUUGGUCAAUGGACGAGAGUCUGAACCAGCCAAGUCGCGUGCAGGAAGAAUGUCCCUAUGGAUUGUAAACUGCUUUUGCAGGGGAAUAAAGUGCAUCACGUGUGAUGUUUUGUAUGUACUCUGCGAAUAAGGAUCGGCUAACUCCGUGCCAGCCGCCGC
rnacentral:rRNA from 1 species